GGAAGGGCCCAUAGCUCAGCGGCAGAGCAUCUGCCUUGCAUGCAGGAAGUUCCAGGUUCAAUCCUCAGCACCUCCA
rnacentral:tRNA from 1 species